rfam:Triticum aestivum genome assembly, contig: Triticum_aestivum_CS42_TGACv1_scaffold_592420_7BS
CAACUAAUCCCUCUGUACCAAAUUUCUUGUCUUAGAUUUGUCUAGAUACGGAUGUAUCUAAUACUAAAAUGUGACUUGAUACAUCCGUAUCUAGACAAAUCUAAGACAAGAAUUUUGGGACGGAGGGAGUACUUU